CGCGUAGGCGGCGUUUUAAGUCGGGGGUGAAAGCCUGUGGCUCAACCACAGAAUGGCCUUCGAUACUGGGACGCUUGAGUCUGGUAGAGGUUGGUGGAACUGCGAGUGUAGAGGUGAAAUUCGUAGAUAUUCGCAAGAACACCGGUGGCGAAGGCGGCCAACUGGACCAGUACUGACGCUGAGGCGCGAAAGCGUGGGGAGCAAACA
rnacentral:rRNA from 1 species